AAUAAAUCAAAGUAACUUUAAAAUUUUAUAUCUAACUACUCAUUCAGCCAAAUUGCCAUUACAAAAUAACAUCAUUAUAAAUUAGGUACAUCAAUUACCAUAUUAAAAAGAAAAAUUAAUGUCUAUAUCCAACUAAUCAAUUCCAACUUGAAGGUACUAUCUAAUCAAAUAAUCAAUGAGCCAAACUGUUCUUGACUUGUUAAGCUUUGUUUUUAGGUGCAAUCAACUGUUUA
rnacentral:misc_RNA from 1 species